rnacentral:rRNA from 1 species
AUACGGGGGAUGCAAGCGUUAAUCGGAAUUACUGGGCGUAAAGCGCGCGUAGGCGGUUUGCUCAGUCGGAUGUGAAAGCCCAGGGCUCAACCUUGGAACUGCAUACGAUACUGGCAAACUAGAGUGUGAGAGAGGAUAGUGGAAUUUCCGGUGUAGCGGUGAAAUGCGUAGAUAUCGGAAGGAACAUCAGUGGCGAAGGCGACUGUCUGGCUCAACACUGACGCUGAGGUGCGAAAGCGUGGGUAGCAAACAGGAUUAGAAACCCUAGUAGUCC